GCUGGUGCGCUCCCUGGGCAGCUCGGCAGGCACGGAGCGGGUCCCGCUCUCACCGCGUGGAACGAGGAACGGGAGUUUCUGUGGGUGGCAGGGAACCGAGACAGGUGGGAGCCGCCACACUCCGCGCCUCUGAACGCUGCCACUAAUAACCAUUUGCAAGUGCUAAUGGUGCUCGGUAUAAUAGCAUCAAGGACACGCUGCCGCAAGGAGGUGACAAAAUAAUGGGUGGUUAUCGUUAGCCUGAUAUACCCCCUAAUUAGUGAUGCACAGGAAUUACCGCGAUUAUUUUCCGCCGUGGUUACAGCUGCGGUGAGAGCUGAUAAUCAGCUGUUGCCAUAACUCUCUGCACACCUCGGAGCUCACGAUAAGGGCGCCUGGUGGGCAGAGUGACCUGAGCUGUUUCCCUGCGUCUGGACCCCUCCGGUGCCCAUGGGCGAGCAGAGCCCUUCAACUCCAGCUGCCAGGGACUGUUCCAGUGAAAAUGGGAGCCCAGCAUAAUAAAUGAGAAAAUGAUGAAAACUUCAUGUACUCUGUAAUUAUGAUAAACAGUUCUCUGCAAUGGAACAGCAUCACUUCCACACAGAGCAGCACCAGUUCCGGGCACUCUGGGAAUGUUCGUUCUCUGAUUUCUGCAGGAAAAGUGGAUGCCAGUGGAGAGGCCCUCCCUGCAGCUGAGCCCGUGGUGUGAGCGUGGGCUGCCCUGUGACGGUGAGCCCCACGGCCCAGGAACAGCUGGGAAUUGCACAGCGAGCCCCAGGGACAGCUGGGCAGGGCACAGCGAGCCCCACAACCCAUGGACACCUGGGCAGGGGUGCUGUGCCUGCAGCACAGCCACCACCAGGCAAGUCUACAAUGCGGAGCAAGGCAAGAAGCAGAAACGACCGUGUCCUCAUUCUGCACACUGCAGCCACACAAAGGGAGUGUUUGGUGGUUAAAUACAGCAUUAGGAAAACGAGUGGAACGGAGCCAGCCCUGCGAGGCAGAAGGCGGGCAGCAGCUGGGAGCGGAUUGCUCAAGACGGCACAGAGAAGCUUUCACUGAGCCCCGGGUACCCGGCACUCCACACUGCCAGGGGGCUGUGCAGCUGCCCAUCCCGCAGGGACGGCUGCAGCCCCUCCCACGACCCCAGCCGGGACAGGGGCAGGUGACACCUCCCGGGCCACCUCACCCCCGGGCCGAGAUAGUGACAACACCUGUGCUGUCACAGUGACAACACCUGUGCUGUCACAGUGUUGUCACCUGAACUGUCACAGUGACAAGACCCGUGUGUCACCCCAGCUGGCAGCUCAGCUGAAUCCCUACCCUUCCCAGCCUGGCACGCUGCCUGCAGUGGGCUCUGCCUGCUCUCCUUUAGAAAUGCAGGAACUUUCUGCCCUGCUGACUCUGAAGGAGUUCAUCAGGCUGAAAUGCCCACUCAGACGAGAGGUCACCUAAUCAUUUGACAGCAUGUCGUGACUUAGCUUUGCCAUCCACAGAGAGCAGUUUUCCUGGGCUCGAACAAAGCCAUUCUGGGCAGGAUCCAUGCAGCUGGCAAACAGUGGGGAUCGCUCUGCCUCGGCUGCACAAAGACCUUGUUUCCUCCUGCACGUGCAGAGCUCACCCAAAGCGAAGGUACUCGCGGUCCCUGAGGGACGUCACCGUCACGGCUGGUGACAAACCCACAGCUGACUCAGGGAUCUGUCUUUGGGGCUGAGCUGGGAGCACUGGGCUUCCUUCUUGAAUUUCUGCUCCUUUGGCUUCUGCCUCUGUAAGACGAGACCGAUGCCCUAUAAUCCUCCCACACACAGACACUCCUGACUGCAGCUCAGAGCUGGGGGCAUUUCAGCGUACAACCCGGGUUUCACUCUUUUUGUUUUCAGAGCAGAGGCAAGGCUUAGAGUCAGCCAACACUACACACCUACAUCAAACACCUUAAUCCCACCCAGUUCUGAACCGUGGCCACUGCUCUAGUUUAUAAAAAUGCUUUGCAGUGGUUGCACCUUGCCCACAUAUAUUGAUUUCUCCUCCAGCUUCUGCUGGGUAUUUAUCUCUCCUUGUUUUUCCCCAAUAUCUACAGAACUGCCAUUUACCAGAAAGGCUGAAAUUUGAAAUGAGGAGCAUUAACAUUAAAUUGCCCAUGGCACCCAGAAGCAGCAGCAGGCUCUGGGACUGCGUGGGGAAAGAAGCCUCUGCUGUGGGGGAAGCACGGCAGCAGCCUCGGGGUGUUGGGGACACGGGAGAUUUGCAGCCUCUGGAGCAGGAGGAACUAAGUCUUUCAUCCUGAAGGACCAGAAGCAGUGAGAAGGCACUUAGCAUGAUGUAGAAACAGCUCAAGUUUUUUUGACAACUGAUUUCAUCUUGAACACUAAGUUUUACUUUGGAGACAGACUACAAGGACAAGGACAGGCUGGACAAUUGUGUUCACUGGUUUCCUGAGCUUGUUGAGCCAAGAGUAAAGCAGGCACAGCCAAGAGAACAAAGCCUAAAGCUGCCUUGCAGGAGUAUCUGCAGUGACAUAAUUCAGUGUCAGGGAUUCACUCAGCACACGAGCACAGAACAGCUGGAUGAAGCUCUGCUGGAAGCAUCUCCCACAGGCACCCCGGGAGCAGCUCCCCUACACCAGCAGGCCCAGAAGGGACAGGCA